rnacentral:lncRNA from 1 species
GGAUUUUUAAAAGAAAAUGACUGGAGUACUUUCAAGUUGUUCUGCUACGGAGGCUACUCUUUUCCUUUGCGAAUGAAUACAUAGGCGAAAGAAUUGAGACUCCAAUAGAAUAUAUUUUGUUUGAUAAAACGUUAGUUUUUAUCCGAUAAUCAUAAUUUUUUUUCUAAUAUACCAAUAAUUGAAUUGGUUCUUAUUUUUCAUGUCGGGCGGGACCUUUUAAAACCGACUAUUUUUCAUUGUUGAAGGUCGUGUGGUUGUCUAUAUUUGCCGCUUAUAUCUUUUUGAUUUGGCCUUUCUUGAACAGUUGUGUCAAUGGCAAUCGUAAUACAUCUCCUUAUUUUUGUGCAUUGUUCGAAACAUAAACAUAAAAAUAAUGUAAAUUUCGGUGAAGACUUAUGAAUGUGUUCGUUACAAAAUUAUACUUUGCAUUUGUGUAACAAUUCUUCAUUAAUAAUUCAUUUUUUUCGAGCCUUCGAGAGAGAGAUAUCGAACAUGCAUUCUGCUGUCGGCGGUUGAGACGUCCACAAAUAUGCACUCUGCUGGUAAAGAUUUUUAAAUGUUGAUAACUUUCAUAAACUACCAUGUAUUUCUCCCAUACUUUGACACAACCUUGUUUAUGAUCAUUAGAUACAGGUAGUGUCCAGAAGUAAAUUUUCUAAAAAAAAAAAAAAAAAAAAAAAAAAACCCACUUUUUUGUCCGUAUGUUAAUCAUAUAAAAGACUUAGUUUUCCUGCCAAUUAACAUUACAUUCACUUUGUUGUUACAGCUGAUUGCAUUGAGUGUGAAGACAAAGGUAGUAUAUUUGGUGAAACAAAUUCAUUAGAUUGGUUACCUGUCGGGCUAGUCUACUCUUAAAGGAGGGACCCCAAGAGUGACUGGGGAAUAGAAAUAUGGUCACUUGGUCUUCUUCUGACCGGCAGUAAAACGCUUGCCGAAGUGGGGCGUCCGUUUGGCUGUGCGGGAUGUAUCAAGUUUGCAGUCACGUCCGGUCAGAUUGGGCACGUUAAAUCCGAUGCCUCGUGUAAAGAGAGUUCCACGCUCUUUGCACGUUAAGAACCCUUGCAACAACUCUUUGAGGGGUCCGUAGGUGGCCUGUUGCAAAGCAAAAUUUCUGUCCCUAUCCAAUAUACCCUUAUUUUCCAGUGGCUGUCCAAAUUUCCCCGACCAUCAUCCCAGAUGGCCUCUAUUAUUUCAAGACCAACCUAUAGUAUUUAUUGUGAAACUUGUUCUCGUCCUGAAUAUGCAUGAAAUAUUUGCCACUGGACGUUAAGCAACCAACAAUUAAUCAAUCAAUCUUAAAGGAGGGUAGUUUACCUAACAUUAUAAUGACUUACUGUUCAGUUAUAAAGCAAGCUAACAAAAGAUAUUACCUUUGUCUACACACUCUAUGCAAUCGGCUGUAAAGUUUUUAAAAUCUUAAUAACUUUCUGAAACAAUCCUGGAUUUCUACCAAACAUGGUCAGAAUCUAAUUGUUUAUGAUAAAAAAAAAAUAGUAUCUAGUAUCAGGAAAUUUUGAAAAAUAUAUUUUUCCUGUUUUCUGUAUGUUACUUAUAAAUGGACCUAGUUUUUCUUUCAGUCAACAUAACAUACAGUCUGUCGUUAAAGUUCUUAACAAAUUUUUAAGAUUUAUAAAGUUGGCAGGACACUGGAUCAGUUGAACCCUUACACGUACAUUUUGAUUUAAGGCAAUUGAUUUAAAAAAAACUACAUAUUUGCUGCAUGUUUAUCGAUCUGGUUUAUAAAAAAACGUCGGUGGUUUUCUUCAUUAAAAGUUGGGACAAAUAAACUUCAAGCCAAUUGUCAUAUUAAAAAGGAGGGUAAAUGUGGUCGUUUUUGAGUAAAUUGUAAAUAUAAUUGCAUUAUUCAUAUAGAUAAGUCGGUUGGUUGUCCUGUUUUAAUGGUUUAACACUGUCUAUUCAAUAUUUGGAAGCGCCAAUGCUUCAUGUUUAAGUCUGUACUUUGAUCCAUAAUGGUUGACUUAUACUAAUUAUGACUAUAAUGGAGAGUUAUCUCAUUGGCAAUUAUCGCACAUAUUCUUAUAUAUCUUUUACAUCCCAACUUUGUCUGUUUUAC